GCCGCACUACCUCAGUUGGGAGAGCAUUAGACUAUAGACCGAAAGUCCCUGGUUCGAUCCCUGGUUUCCGCA
rnacentral:tRNA from 1 species